CCACGGCCCAGGACCCCAGGGUGGGAGAGUGAACGGAAAGGUACUCGUGCCUGGAGCGGUUGCAACAUCCUCUGUAAUGAGGAAGAUACAGCUCAGAGGCACUGGGUCGAAGGACCCCUCUCCCCAGCCCUCCUUUCAGGUGUCGGGGCCUAAAGGGGGUCCAGUUCCAGUGCGGAAGGCUGGGAACUAGGAAGCGUCGCGGACCAGACAGCCCGCCUUCCCGGUCUCCCGGGUGGGGGUUCGGGGGGCGUGGUGCGGCGGCCGGGGCUGAGAGGGGUCGGUGCGGCGGCUCUGCCUCCCCGGGAAGUGGGAACCGGCCAAGUCCCGAGCGGGGAGGGGCAGGCUUUCUCCUGCCCGCGCCUGGGGGGACCCUACGCCUGUGUCCGAAG
rnacentral:lncRNA from 10 species